GGACCAUUGCACACCACACACACCAACUUGCCAUGCAUUUCAUCCCUAACCUAACCUGAUUUUCUAAGGUUUUUGGGGCCUAUAAAUACAUGUUUACACCCCUUGGCCAAAGAAUAAUCCCCCAUAUUCAUCAUUUUAUCACAGAAAUUCGUCCAUACACACCCUAGGAAGCAAAACACCCAAAAAACACCAUUCUAGUGCCUAGAAAACAUAACAGCCACUCCAC
rnacentral:lncRNA from 1 species